GACGAACGCUGGCGGCGUGCCUAAUACAUGCAAGUAGGACGCAGUUGCGAACGGGUGAGUAAUGCGUAGGUAACUACCUAUUAGAGGGGGAUAACUAUUGGAAACGAUAGCUAAUACCGCAUACUAGUAGAUGGACCUGCGGUGUAUUAGCUAGUAGGUAGGGUAAUGGGCGACCUAGGCAACGAUACAGAGCCGACCUGGGAGGGGGAUCGGCCACACUGGGACUUGUACACGGCCCAGAAUCCGUCGGGAGGCAGCAGUAGGGAAUCUUCGGCAAUGGGGGGAACCCUGACCGAGCAACGCCGCGUGAGUGAAGAAGGUGUUCGGAUAGUAAAGCUCUGUUGUUAAGGAAGCGGUACUUAACCAGAAAGGGACGGCUAACUACGUGCCAGCAGCCGCGGUAAUAC
rnacentral:rRNA from 1 species